AGCAGCCGCGGUAAUUCCAGCUCCAAUAGCGUAUAUUAAAGUUGUUGCAGUUAAAAGCUCGUAGUUGAAUUUCGGGAUCAAAGAAUCGGUCAUGCUUUGGUAUGUACUGGUUUUAUUGGUUCUCACCUUCUAAAGAACCAUAAUGUCAUUUAUUUGAUGUUAUGGGGAAUUAGGACUGUUACCUUGAAAAGAUUAGAGUGUUAAAGCAAGCUUACGCUUGAAUACAUUAGCAUGGAAUAAUGAAAAUAGGACAUCCGAUUCUAUUUUGUUGGUUUCUAGGAUCGAUGUAAUGAUUAAUAGGGAUAGUUGGGGGCAUUAGUAUUCAAUUGUCAGAGGUGAAAAUUCUUGGAUUUAUUGAAGACUAACUACUGCGAAAAGCAAUUUGCCAAGGAUGUUUUCAUUAAUCAAGAACGAAAAGUUAGGGGAUCGAAGACGAUCAGAUACCGUCGUAGUCUUAACCAUAAAACUAUGCCGACUAGGGAUCGGACGAAUGUUAAAUUUUUCUUGACUCGUUCGGCUG
rnacentral:rRNA from 1 species